UAGGGAAUUUUGCGCAAUGGGCGAAAGCCUGACGCAGCAACACCGCGUGUGGGAUGAAGCUUUUCGGAGUGUAAACCACUGUCAGAGGGGACGAAAUCUGACGGUACCCUCAAAGGAAGCAUCGGCUAACUACGUGCCAGCAGCCGCGGUAAGACGUAGGAUGCAAGCGUUGUCCGGAAUUAUUGGGCGUAAAGCGUUCGUAGGCGGCCUGUCAAGUCUGAUGUUAAAGCCCGGGGCUCAACUCCGGUCCAGCAUUGGAUACUGGCAAGCUAGAGUACAGUAGAGGUAAGGGGAAUUCCUAGUGUAGCGGUGAAAUGCGUAGAUAUUAGGAGGAACACCGGUGGCGAAAGCGCCUUGCUGGACUGUAACUGACGCUGAGGGACGAAAGCCAGGGGAGCAAAUG
rnacentral:rRNA from 1 species